GGCUGGAGGAUCGGAAGGCACGGCGUGUAGAGGGGGCUGUGGGCACUGAGGACUCCACGCUUAAGAAACUUCAGAAUUUUACAGCGAUUUUGAAUGUUUUAGAAAAACAUUGAACUUUAAAAGAGACUUCAGGGCUGGUGAGAUGGCUCAGUGGGUAAGAGCACUGGACUGCUCUUCCGAAGGUCCAGAGUUCAAAUCCCAGCAACCACAUGGUGGCUCACAACCAUCCGUAAUGAG
rnacentral:lncRNA from 1 species